AACUUUACUGCCCACAGCUCUGCGCAGAGGCAAGGGCUGGUGAGAGCGGAUCCACCCAGGAAGUCUCUGUAACGGGAACCCCAUCUCUGACUAAAUGCAAUUCACAGAGGUCUUCUGGGUCAAGGGAGAGCUAUCUUUCCUCAAAAUCCUCAGAUGACUUGAAUGUAUGAAGAUGACCUGGCAAUUCAUCCUUGCUCACUGUUCCCGUGCUCCUACUAGUGAAAGCACUUAGGUGUUUGAAAUCACACCAAAGAAGCUCUUUCUGAGUUGGGAAAAAUUGGUAACAGUAUAACACCUGGUGAAUAUUAUCAUCAUUAUUAUUGGAACCCACUUUUUCUCCUAUAUCUAUUUUGCUCAUUUCCAUGGAGCUAAAGACAUUGUGAAUGAUAAAGUAGACUGGAAACCUGACCAGCGUGGCCCCUUCAGACUAUACAGGAAAUGAGGUUAUCAGAAAUUCCUUUUAAUAAUGCAAAAGCAGAAAUGUUGAAACAAAGGUUUUGAUGAAUUAUAUUUUUAAGGCCAGACUGGUUCUCUGUGUUCAAAUAUAAGCAUGAAUUAGUUCCUUCACCAACAUAUUUGUACUGUUAUAUACACCAGUUUAUGUCUCCUCAUAGUAUAUGGUCCAUUAAAACUAAGAAACAUGACAGUGAAACUACUGAUUUUUGACCAUUUACCAUAGCAACUCAUCAUGAAAAAGAACACAUUGUAGCACUAAAUCAGACAAAUAUUGCAUCAUGGAGACAAUAAGGUUAUUAAGAAGAUUUUUUCUCUAACUUUUAAAUAUUAGGAUGUUGUACUAUGAGUGAUUUUGAUGUAGAAGUUAGAGAAGCAAAUUCAAUUUAUCAGGAAAAUUGCCCUCAUAUUUUAAAGCAAGAAAUGGAUUAAACAAAGAGAUGUUUCAGAAAAAAUGUGAUCUCCUAAAAACAGCACUAUAUAGUCUUGUCUUUUUCCACCUUGACAAUCUACUUUCUGUCCUUUUUGUAUUCAUAAGAUCAAAAAAGUGGCAAUAAAUUGUUGCUUUUCCUA